rnacentral:rRNA from 1 species
UACGAAGGGGGCUAGCGUUGCUCGGAAUUACUGGGCGUAAAGGGCGCGUAGGCGGCACUGUUAGUCAGGCGUGAAAGUCCUGGGCUCAACCUGGGAACUGCGCUUGAUACGGCAGAGCUAGAGGAUGGAAGAGGCUCGCGGAAUUCCCAGUGUAGAGGUGAAAUGCGUAGAUAUCGAGAGGAACACCUGCGGCGAAGGCGGGUUGCUGGGCUGAUACUGACGCUGAGGCGCGAAGGCCAGGGGAGCAAACGGG